UACAGAGGGGGCGAGCGUUGUUCGGAAUUACUGGGCGUAAAGGGCGCGUAGGCGGCCCGCUAAGUCGAACGUGAAAUCCCCAGGCUCAACCUGGGAACUGCGUCCGAUACUGGCAGGCUUGAAUCCGGGAGAGGGAUGUGGAAUUCCAGGUGUAGCGGUGAAAUGCGCAGAUAUCAGGAAGAACACCCGUGGCGAAGGCGGCUCUCUGGUACGUGACUGACGCUGAGACGCGAAAGCGUGGGGAGCGAACAGG
rnacentral:rRNA from 1 species